GUGGUAACCUGAGUAGAUGCAAUCCCCCCAGGGAGGGCUACCCUUCAGUUCGGGGAAUCUGGAAUAAUUACUGCCUUGUUUAUAACCUGUCUGCUCUUGUUUCAUGCCUCAUCUGAUAUGUUGCACUGAUGUUGCUGUGUUCCCAGAUCACGGCAAUUAACUUGCCCGCUCACCUGGCUGUCAGUCUACAGGUGAAGAGGUGGGCUGAAGAGGUCACAGAACAGGGAGAAACUGCAAGUUAGACAUAAUAACGCAAGCUGGGUCCAAAUACAGUGUCAACAACUGAUCGAGGACCUAUUUUAGAAGAGUUUCCCCCCGAGCCGUUGCCUUCUGCCAUGGCGCCAUUUUGGGCCGUUACCGUGUCCAGCCCAACACCGCCACCCUUCUCCAUCUUUUCGUUGCUCAAGCUUCAGAUGACACCCUUCACCUGCGGUUGCGAGCCUCCACCAGCUCGCUCAGCUGAUCCUGUGCCGCUCUGAGCUCCUCCAGACUCUGCUGGUAGCUGAGGUCGG